rnacentral:rRNA from 1 species
UGCCGGCGACCGGCGGACGGGUGCGUAACGCGUAUGUAACCUACCUUUGACAGGGGGAUAACAUCGAGAAAUUGGUACUAAUACCCCAUAACAUCACCGGAGGCAUCCUCGGUGGUUGAAAACUCAGGUGGUCAGAGAUGGACAUGCGUUGUAUUAGCUAGUUGGUGAGGUAACGGCUCACCAAGGCGACGAUACAUAGGGGGACUGAGAGGUCAACCCCCCACAUUGGUACUGAGACACGGACCAAACUCCUACGGAAGGCAGCAG